rnacentral:rRNA from 1 species
AAAAAGCGGAGGAAAAGAAACUAACAAGGUACCCGCUGGAUUAAGCAUAUCAAUAAGCGGAGGAAAAGAAACCAACAGGGAUUCCCUUAGUAACGGCGAGCGAAAAGGGAUGAGCCCAGCAUGUAAAUCUCCGGUUUCCGGCGAAUUGUAGUCUGGAGUAGCAACUCCUGGUGCCGUGCCGGCCCAAGCAUCUUGGAAUAGAUCGCCUCAGAGGGUGAGAGCCCCGUAGGUCGGUACGAGCUCCUACACGGAGUGCUCACGCAGAGUCGGGUUGUUUGGGAAUGCAGCCCCAAUUGGGUGGUAAACCCCAUCUAAGGCUAAAUACCUGUGGGAGACCGAUAGCAAAAAAGUACCUCGAGGGAACGAUGAAAAGACCGCUGGCAAGCGAGUGAAAGAGUGCAUGAAAUUGUAUAGUGGGAAGGGAUGGCCUGGCGUAUUGCCCGCGGGUAUACACUGCUCUUUGAGCUCUUGAAUACACCGUGGGCUGGCUGGUGCCGACACCUGCGCUUGCAAAUCCCCAAACUAAGGUGUUUGGCUCUUCAAGCGCGGGUGUUGAGGUUGAUCGUCGCUUUGUUUUAAACUGCGUCGACAUAGCACCAGCUGAAGCCAGUCCAUCUACCCGUCUGAAAACACGGAAA